rnacentral:misc_RNA from 1 species
AUGAAAAUGAGGCAAUUUAAAACCUACAGAGAGAUUUGUUUGGUUUCACUAGAGGAAGCUUCUAUCCCUGGAAGGAAAAAGAGAUGUAUAGAUUUCGAAGCAAACGAAGGAAAAAAAGAAAAAAAAAAACCUUUUUUUAAGGGGGGUUCCCGGUGUUUUUUUUUUUUUUUUUUUUUUUUUUUUGUUAAUUUUAAAUUACAGCUUUGCACUUUAACCCUCCCUUGCUUCAGUUUCAUGAUGUUCUUCCGCAUUUACAGUAGCUUCAGUGCAGUCUGCCUCCAUCCACUCUGAGCCACCAUUUCCGGGUGCGGUCUCUAGUGCUUUGUCUACCACCCAAUCAUCCAUCGGAUCAAUCUCCUCAGAUACAAGGCCACUUUUAACACCUAAUUUUGUGUUCUGCAAGUGCAAGUUAUAGUGAACAUAUGCUAAAUCAUUCAAUCGUUGUUGCUCAACAUGGUUCCUCCCACUCAUGAGAAGCCUCUCAGCCAAACUCCUCUUCAGCCCAUAUCUCAAAGCACCAUCACAAGUUUGGCUCAGAAUUCUUACAGCAAAUUUUUGCAGCUCGGGAUGUUGUUUCCCAUAGGUAGACCACCACUGGGCUGGAGAAACAUUGGUUCUUUUGCCAAUUGCACUCCCCUCUUUGAAAGCACCUCGAGCAUGUCUAUACUCAUCAAGUUGUAAAGAUAUUAGAUCUUGUGUGUGCUGAUCUGGUACCAUACGAACAAUACAGCAUAACAGGCCAAAAGCAACCUCAGGAUCACUGUAGAAAUCAGUUGAAUAAAAUAGGCUUGGGUUUAAAUAAUAGCCUGCAGCAUGUAGAGGGCUAUGGAGAUAGGUGUCCCAGAUCUCGUCAAUUAUUUUCCAGAAAGGAAUAUAUUGUGAUUUCUUGUUUUUAAAUUCUUCUCUAAUUGUCUCCUUCGCUUGAUCCAUGGUCUCAUAUAUGUAACCCACUUGAGGUUUAUCAGCCUCAGCAAUCAGACUCAGAACACGGAGCAGUGGCACAGUAGCCUUCAAGGUCAUCUCAGCCCCAGUCCAGAAAGAAAGAUCCUCCAUCAAAUGAGCCACUGUCAUUCCCUCUGGAAUGGAAGCCCAGACUGAGGUCCUCCACUCUGAUGACACAAACAUUUUCUUCAAGUUCUUCUUUUCUGAUACGAUAUUCUCUAAGGUCAAGAAAGGCACAACAAACUUCAUCUUGGAUGGCUUUAUCAAGUCAUAGCUACGCGUAUGAUUUCUCAUAAGCUUCAAAAUCUCCCCACGUCCAUAAAUGAACUUUGUAAUGAUCUUGGCCUUGUCUAGUAUCCCCCUGAUGCCAACCAAUGUCCCUAUCUUUUCUAGAAUGAGCUUAAUGCAAUGAGAUGUGCUAACACUCCAGAACACCGUCCUACGCCUGUCCAUAAACUGCUUGCCUACAGUUCCCACCCAGCCUGUCGUUGAACAUGCUACAAUUUGAACUACAUUGUCAAUCCCAACCUCCUCAAUAGCUCUAUCCAGUAAUAACUGCAAUGCAUUUACAUCAUUGAUAAUAGCUGAAACAUCAGCUGAAUGAAGAUAAAUUGGACCUGCAGGGCAUUCCACCACAAAACUAACCAGGUUUUGACCCUUCUCAUUGACCCAUCCAUCCAACAAAAUACUGCAUCCAGUACUUGCCCAUGAAUGUCUAAUCUUCUUCACAUAUUCUUGCAUCUCUUUCACUUCAUCCCAAAGAAUCCACCCUUUCAACUCCAGAAGAGUAGGGAUUGUCACCUGACCACAACCAAGAGUUGCAUUUAGCAUUCUUUCGAAGCUAGGAGAAUUGGCAACACUAAAAUCAAUACCAGUUUCAUAGAAAAAUCUGCCAAUGCUUUUUUUGACUUGGCCUGCUGAUGCAUCUUCUUUUAAUUGGCCAUUUAUGGUUAUUUUUGAAUCUGGUCUUUUGUUAGGAACUGGAAAAUGUUCUACCACAUCAUCUUCUACCACAGAAUCAUUCUCUAGCUGCUUUUUGCUUCCAUAACCAGCAGUUUGACUGGCUUCAAACUUAAAAUGCUUGACAACAUUUGAGGUAGGCCACCCAUUUCUCUUCCCUGGCAGAUCUGGCUGACAUAUUUUUCCAACUUCCUUAGCAAGAUUCUCUCUUUUCCUUUCUUCUAACAUAUUUCUAAAUGAUUCCUUAACAUUUUCAGGAACUUUCUCACAAGGGACUACAUCUUUCCGUACACCCCCUAAAUGGCACUUGAGACGGAAGAAGCCACUGACUACUUUACCACAAUAGUUGCAUUGAACUCUAAUCUUUUUCUUGUCAAGAGAAGUACCAUGAUUAUGAAUAUUGAUGGAGGACUCACCAGUAGACAUUUUUCUACAUUAGAAGGAAACAAGAAAUGCCACAAUUGCAAAUUCUUAGCCAAGAGACCUCAGU